UGAGAACUGAUGCUUUAACCAAAUGAGCUAAUUGGCACUUACCAUAUUCCAGGUCUGAACCAACCAUCAGAAGUACUCUCAAAAGCAAAUGUAGUCACUGCCCACAUGGAGCUCAUAUUCCAUUGAGGGAAAUUAUACAGAGGAGAUUGAAGAGAAGGAGAGAGAGAAGACAGAGGUGAAGGAAGAAAAAAGAGGAGAAAGAUAAAGAGGAAGAUGAGGAGGAAACAAAAAGAAGGAAGAACAAGAAGGAGGAGGAGGAAAAGAAAAAUGAGAAGAGGAAGAAGAAAAAGGAAGCUUUUAUAUAGAGUUUUAAGAAAUGCAGCUGCCCUAACCUUCCUCAGCCACCACCCUGAUCAGAGAGCCACUGUCAACAUCAAGGCAAGAUCCUCCACCAGCAAAAAAAUGAUCACAUCCUGAAGGCUCAGAUGAUAGUUAACAUUUUUAGCCAUAAAAUAUUUUUAAAAUCAGAUAUAAUACCAUCACAUGCUUAAUAGACUGUGUUAUAGUGUAAACAUAACUUUUAUUUGCACUGGGAAACCAAAAAUUCAUGUGACUCUGCUUUAUUGCAAUAUCUGCUUUAUUGCCGUGGUCUACAAUGAAACAUGCAGUAUCUCUGAGGUAUGUUUAUAUUUAUAAGGAAAUUUGCAAAUGUUAAAGUAUUAUAUAAAAGGCUAGCCAUUAUUUUAUGUAUUGUACAUACAGUGUAUGCAUAUUAUAUAAUAUAAGCUGCUUGAGGAUGGGUACCUUUUUUGCCUUUUCGCUAUAGCCCCAGCACUUAGCACAAUGCUCAGCAUACAGUAGGUGUUAAAUAAAUGUUUGUUGAUUGAUUGUCCCCUCAUCCUUUUGUAUUUGUUGUCCUUUAAAAAAAAAUUCCCCAGAGAGCACCUUUUCCAAUCACAUUGGUCAUUUAAAAUAAGUCCUUCUUUUCUUCCUAGAUGGUUUAAAAAUAUGAGAGUGGAAAAAGGUCAGAAAGAUUUUAAUCUAUGCAAACAUAUUACUUAAUACACUACUAAAAAUAAACAAUACAUUAGAACGCAGGUUUACUGUGGGUUGUGGAAGAUUGUGUUCUCCCAAAGAUCUGUAACUUCAAUGGUCGGGAUACUCCCUCCACUGAUGCAGAUUGCAGCCCUUUUGGGUAGAUGGUUCUAACAGUGACUAAAAAAUUCAUCACUCUUGUCAAUGUAGGAUUGUCCUUGGAAUAAGAAGACUGGAGCUCAAGCUCUGUCUUUUAUACAUCUUUGGCUGUGUGCCACAGGAUCAAGCAUUUGACCUUUCAGUGGUUCUGUCAAUGAUCUAAGACAAUAAAUUGAAGAUCUUGUACCUGUCUGUGGUGGUAAUAAUUGCUAUGAUAGUUUAACAUUGACAUUAACAUUAGUCUCUGCUAAGCACUUUAAAAUAAUCGUUUCAUUUGAUUCUUACAACAGCUCUACGAAAGUGAUACCAUUUUUAUCCACAUUUUAAAGAUGAAGAUAACCAAGAUUAAAUGUCACAGCAUUAGUGGCUGAGACCUGAGUUGAAUUGAAGGUUUCUUGACUUCAGGUUAGCACUCUAUCCACUCUACCACCUGUUAGUCAAAAGAAGUUAUUUUCUUAUUGGAAGUUCCCCAUCCCAAUGAAAUCAUAUGUUUAGUCUAAUAUAUAUAUAUAUAUAUAUUUGUACAUUAUCUCCUUUGGGCAUCUUCAAGUCAAUAGGCAUUUAAACCUGCAGUAAGAUUACACCUAAUAGAGUUAGCUAGUAGUGACCAGGACAAGAAUCCCAUCUAAAGUGAGUUGCCUUCUGUGAGUGAGGUUGACCUCGCUUCAAUUAAUCAAUCAACCACCCAAUAAGCAUUUAUUAAAGACCUCCUGUGUUCCAGGCACUAUGUAUGCCAGGGGCUGGGGAUACAAGUGUGAAGAAUGAAAUCUAAUCCUUUGGACCAUGUUUGGUUUGGACUAGUUAGUGUACCUUCUGGAGAAUGUGAUCCAGAGCUCCCACACAUUCAGGGCAGCCUGCCCAUCUUACUCAUUAACAAUGAGGGGUUUUCCACACUUGUAACCAAAGAAAGAGUCUCUGAUUGCUUCUGUAGUAAUGUGUACAAAACUGGAGCCCUCCUCUCUUAGCCGAGAUUUUCAAAAGGAAAAAAAUAGCCUCCCUUGUGUCUCUUAGCACAUAGGAUAAAUUUAGGAGCACAAGGAUUCCUUAUCAUAACUUUGUGAGCUAUAACUCAUUUUCAGCCACCUGUGUCCUAAUCCAAUAAUGUUUGCUUAGUUCACGAAGGACCAUCAGCUAUUAUAGGAUGACCCAACAGGUACA